AUUGAACGCUGGCGGUAUGCUUAACACAUGCAAGUCGAACGGUAACAGGCCUAGCUUGCUAGGUGCUGACGAGUGGCGGACGGGUGAGUAACGCAUGGGAAUCUGCCUUAUUGUGGGGGAUAACCUGGGGAAACUCAGGCUAAUACCGCAUGAGCCCUAAGGGGGAAAGGAUGGGAACGAAAGGCCAUUCGCGAUAAGAUGAGCCUGCGUUGGAUUAGCUAGUUGGUGGGGUAAAGGCCUACCAAGGCGAGGAUCCAUAGCUGGUCUGAGAGGACGAUCAGCCACACUGGGACUGAGACACGGCCCAGACUCCUACGGGAGGCAGCAGUGGGGAAUAUUGGACAAUGGGGGCAACCCUGAUCUAGCAAUACCGCGUGUGUGAAGAAGGCCUGCGGGUUGUAAAGCACUUUCAGUGGGGAGGAAGAGCUCGGUGCUAAUAGUAUCGAGUUGAGACGUUACCCACAGAAGAAGCACCGGCUAACUCUGUGCCAGCCGCCGCAGUAA
rnacentral:rRNA from 1 species